rnacentral:ncRNA from 1 species
GUAAGUACAAUGAGGAAGAGAGUAUGUUAGUUAUGUUUCUACAGGGAGGAUGCUGCCAAAGAUUGCGAGCAGCGCUGAAACAGCUGACAGAAGUUCACUUCUGAGUAUCUGGGCUGAAGGGAUAGGUUAUUCUGUGUAGGUCUGGCGUUUUUCCGCGUUACAGGAAAUCGAGUGUAAUUAGGGUGGUACCGCGAAGUCAAGACUUUCGCCCCUUGG